AAGUAUAAAGAUCUCUUCUAAACUCCCUGCUAUGUUUAAGUCGUCAACAUGAACUACAACUAUUGCAAGCCCAUAUUCUAUUUUUUGUAACACCCCAAACCCGGCCUAGACGUUAUGGCCGAAUCUAGCUAUGUCACAUUGGUGGGAUUUUGAAAAUGGAGCUAACACGAUAAAAACCUUAAGCUUAUAAACCUAUAAUUGCUUUCAUUUAAUUCAAAACAUAUAUUCAAUUAGUCGACUUGCCUUAAAAAGUAUCAUUUUAGCGGAAGCUUAGGAAAAUUGUCGUGUUUAAGGAAAACAAUUUGCAUUUUAUUUUAGAAAUUCAUGGUUUAGGUUAAACCAUCAUAGUAAUAAACAAAUUAAUUCCAAACCCAAAACCAAAGCCAAACAGUUUAAAAGAAUCUAGAGAGUCCUAGAAAAUACAACCUCUCAAAACUCAAUGCCAAAACUUAAAUAAAACAGUAAAACAAAAUUAAAUAGUAAUAGGAAGUGGUCACUAUCGAGUCCUCCGCUGCACCGAUCCGUCUAACUCUAUGGAUUACCUGUACAGAACAAAUAGAGAAGGGGUGAGUUUACGUAAACCUUAGUGUGUAACCCGCAGAAUUAGACAUGUACACAUACAAAAAUUCAAAACCAUACAAACAUAGAUUCGGGCCUAAGCCCAUUUUAGAUUCAGACAUGGAUGUGCAAAUCAGAAUCAGAAAUUAGAUUUCUACCCCUAUCCUCUACACACCAUAUCCGUCCAUCCCUACACACCAUGUGGGAUUUGAAAUACCCACCCAGCCCUACAUAUCAUAUUUUACCGAUGCGGUACAUAACAGAUAUGAUGUAGCAAUGCUGCUAGAUAAUAGCCAUAAAUUGCCUUUCUGUAGCACCCCAAACCCGGCCCAGAAGUUAUGGCCGGAUCCGGCAUGCCACAUCAAAAACGUUAAAAAAAAAUUUCCAUUCUAAGUCCAGAAAGUCGUACUUGAUGUUCAAAAGAUUAAUUCAUUAAGGAUUAAAGUGAAUGGAAGCUGUGCACCAGGUAGGAAACUGGAAAAGAGGUGGUGAGUCCAUCGGACUGCUUAAGUACCAAGCUCCCUUCGGAUCCAAUCCUAGACAUGCAUACCGCCAUUGCCACACCUUAACGUCAUGGAUAUUUCUAGGAAACCGAUUUGAUUAAGUCAUUUUUAGGAAAAGUGAUUAAUUUUGGAAAAUACUUUCAUUGCGGAAGCUUUGCUUGUUGUCGUGUUAUUUUGAAAUAAACUAUUGUUUUUGAAAACGUGCCCUAAAGCUAUCCAAUUUCAACAGUUAAAAUAAGUAUUACCUAUCUUAGUAAUACAUAUUAAAACCAUAAAAAAUAGUUAAGCGGCCUUAUUACAUUUAAAAACCCAAAACUUCAAUCGUAAAUAAAAGGAUGUCCAGUUCACCAGAAGAAAAUCAAACUUUCAGAACGAGUGGCCACUCCGAAUUCUCUCACAGCUCCAAGCCCACUAUGGUUGGGGAUUUCCUGCGUGGAUGAAAAUAAAAGGGGUGAGUUUGGGGAAACUCAGUGUGUAAAUUAACCCAACCAUAGCCUAUAUCAGCUCAAACCACAGAAAUAGAAUAAGUUGGCCUUAGCCCAGAACAGAAUUCAGAAUAAAGCCCAUAGGCCCAUAACAGAACAGAACAGAUAUUACAUGUUUAUGCAGAAACCCAACCAUAUCCAACCGUAUACACCCCCGUACCAACCUUACACCAUGUGGGGAGACAACUCGACCCACCCAACCGCUACACACCACAGAAUUUGUAGCAUGGCUGCCAGAACAGAUAAUGUGACAGAGUCACCAGAUACAGAUAAUCGUGGCAAAGCCACCAGAACAGAUAUAUGUGGCAGAGCCACCAGAUCAGAUAUUUGUGGCAGAGCCACCAGAUCAGAUAUUUGUGGCAUAGACACCAGAACGCUUCCUCCAUAAUAUAACCCAUGUCCCCAUGCAACAGAUAUAUAAUCAUGGCAUACAUCAUACAGAAUCAGAUCGUCAUGCUUUUCAGUCAAAAUUAACCCUAGGGGUAUAACGGUAAUUUUGCACCUAGGGGUAUAACAGUAAUUUUCCAUACAUAGGGGUAUUAUAGUAAUUUAGCUACUUUUAGGGUUUUCAUGCAUAUCCUAACUAUUUAUGUACUAUCAGAACACUUACCGCGCAUACUUACCGAAUUGGGCCCGUUGGCCUAUGAACCCGAUCUUUUGCCCAUUAAGCCCAAAUUAUCAAAAUGUACGAAAUCGCGCGUACUGCAGUUUAUUACUUUAGAUUACCAAAUAUACAAACCCAACUAUCUUACAAGCAUUCGCACACUCGCAAAUUCCCAAAAUACCGACUUUUCGGCAUUUCGGCUUUUCGGCUUUUGCCAAUCUAGUCUAUGAGAGGGUGUCAGUUACACACCUAUUUGCGACGAUAUGCUGACGAGAUCCACACACGAACCGCCUACAAUUGGAUUACUAACACGUUAAUCUAACUAUUCAAAUACAAACUACGUAUUAACCCCUUACAAUAUUCGGCCAACCACACCUACAGAUCAUAGUAAGCUUAUAAGAAAUCAAUAAGCAACUCAUUAACAAAUUUUGUCAAUGUUUACCACAUAAUCAUAAUUUCACUGCAAGCUGUCUUCCUGAGCAACAGUCACUAAAUUAUUUAUAACUGGAGCUACGAAAUUCCAAAUCAAGUGCCGUUAAUUUUCCCUGAAAAUAGACUCAUAUAUAUUCUAUCCAUAAAAUUUUCAGAAUUUUUUGUUUAGCCAAUAAAUACCAGAUUUUUCUCAAAGUUUCCCAUGUUUCACUGUUUGACUAAUCUGACCACCCUUCAUUACGAAUCAAAUUUCUCAUUUUACAGAAUUCAAAAUAUGUUCUUGUUUAUUUCAUUAGAAACUAGACUCAAUAAGCUUUAAUUACAUAAUUUAUUCAGCUUCUAACUCAUCUUCCACAAUUUAUGGUGAUUUUCCAAAGUCACGUUACUGCUACUGUCCCAAGCAGAUUUAUUACCAAAUCACUCUUUCACACCUAACUUGCAUGCUUGUUAUUUAAACAUGUAUAUCACCAAUCAAUCAUCAGAUAUCUAUGAUUUUACUUAAGUAUAAUCUCCAUUUCAUCAUUUUAAAGCACAACAUGUUAGCUGAUUUUUCCCUUUAACAUCUAAGGCACAUGCAUGCUUAUUUGUUUGGCUCAACUUCACCUAUCUUCCAUUCUUCAUCAAAAGAACAUGAAACAACAACCAUUUCCUUCAUUUUAAUUCAUGACUAAAUGCUCACAACACAACUAAAAAUCAAAAUAUACUUCAACAGUUAAGGUAGAAUCAAGAAGAACUCAUGAACCUCAAAAUAGAAGCAAGGUACCAAGAACUAUUACCUUCAAUAUUCCUCCUCCUAAUGACCAAAUACUCAAGAGCUUUCUCCUCUCCUUUCUCUUCUCUAACUUUCAGCUAUGAUGAACAAAGAUGGACAAAACUUUGUUCUUUUCACCCCUUUUUCUUUUAAUAAAACUUCAUAUUUCAUCCAUUUAAUUCUUUAAUACAAAAGACAUGAAAUUCUUAUCAUGAAACAUUUACCUAACCCAUUAUCAUGGAACAUUUACCUAACCUAUUAUCAUGAAACAUUUACCUAACCCAUUAUCAUGGAACAUUUACCUAACCUAUUAUAAAGGAACAUUUACCUAACCUAUUAUCAAUUUGUAUCAAUUUGUACCAUAAAUUAUGGAUAUCAAGUGUACAUUUUGUCUAUAACAACAUGAUGGCUGGCCACUUCAUGUAAAAUGGGAGGUUUGUCAUGCAAAUCCUCCUAUUUUGCACUCCUAUUUAUUUGGCCACUUCAAUUUAGCCUAUAGCAUUUUCAAACAUUUU
rnacentral:lncRNA from 1 species